GGAGGCUGAAGCUAAUAGCUAACCCAGGGGUAGAUAAGACUACACACCAAUGACUGUCCUUCAAAAUGUUUGAAAGACAAUGACUGUUAAAGCAUUUACCUGAAAAAUGAAUAUGACAACUUCCUGGUGACGAGGAGUCAGAAUUAAGUAACAGCUGUAAAACCUUAAUUUCAAAGUGCACAGUCUAGGUCUGUUAGAUGUAGUCCAGGUCAUGGCAGACACAAGGAGGAUGGAAAUAUCAAAGCCAGCCCAAGGCCUUUACAUUCGGUUUUCCUGCUCGAGAUCCUCCAUGAAUAUUCCAGGGCUCCUUGUUUGUCAGGAUGGCUGUCUCGCUUUCAUCUAUUCAGGCUCCUGAUAGACAACCCUGACACCUGCUCCCCAGGGACACCAUCCGCCAAGUCACUGCACUGCUCCUGGAGAGACUUCCUUUACUUUAUCAGCCCAUAAAGGAUUGUCACAGGUGACUAUAUCUGCUGAGGUAUGGAGCUGCCCCCUUCUGACCUGCCACCUGACGUGUGGUCGAGGCACCACGCUAUGCGUCAGGAGCGGAUUAAGGUGGCUUAAAUGCUGUCGUACAAGCAGAUUCGGCACUUCACACUUUCUAGAAAUGUUAAGCCUUUGUUCUCUUCCAUUAAUUAGCAUUGUCUUAAGUUCAUUAGACCACAGCUUGUGUUGUUACUAAUGAGGCAAGUUAGACCACCUACAUACACCAUACCUUUGUAGAGCCUGACCUGACAUAGGUGUUAUGUGCUUUUCUGUCCACGGUGUAAUAACUUGCAUUGCUACUGAGGAAAGUGGGACUUAUACAUCAACCAUUAUUUUUGAGUAGCAACAACAAUAAUGAACAAAUUCCAGUUAGUUUUUAGGAUACAUUGUGUAAUAGAGUCAGUAUCGCUUAAAUUGGUUUCUUUUUAUUUUACUUUUUUAGGAUUCGACUGCAACAUUUGAUAUGGUGGAUCCUACUCCUCUUACAAACAGACAAAUGAGAUUGAAAUUUAUUGUAGUCAGUGGAUAAUUUCAUAUUUAUCUGUUCAGUUCAACCAGGAACAUUUUUCUCUGCUGCUGCUUUAAGUUAUGGUGUUCCUCAAGGAUCCAUUUUGGUGCCACAUACUUUGAUGGGUCAAUUCUUCAUUUCUUUUCAUCAUUAUACAGAUGACACAUAGAUUUACAUGCUGAUUCCCCAUUCCCUCCAGAAACACCUUAAUUCUUUGUGACGUAGGUUCACCAAAAUGUCAGAAAAAUCUACGAGAUUUUGAUCCACAUUGAUCCAAUUGGUGGAAAUGAAUCAGUUGUCCAGGAUCUUACCACAUCCCACAGUGCUCUAAUCCUGAGUGUAAUGUGUUUCUGAGCCACUUUGCUGUUUGUCUACUGCUAGAGGUCUUAGGUCAUCUCUUCUUUUUAGCCCUUUUUAUUCCUUUACACUGCUGUUGUAAACAUGUAAGUACAAUUGAUUUGAUAAGAUUAGAUUCAUGUCUAAAUUUGUAUGCCAAAAUAUUAUUUAGUAUUGCUGAGAUUGAUAUUUGUUUGGAAUGGUUACAAAAUUAAUCCUGAGUAAUGAUCUCAAAUGAUCUCAGUGACCAUUUAAAGAUUCAGUGAUCUUUAAAUGGUCACUGAAGGGUAACAUCCUGUUUGGAUGAAGUGUGAAAGGAAGAUUUUCCCAGUUUCUAGACUCCCACUAAAGUUUCCCUACUUUCCUGCAAGACGUCUCAGGGCAGUGCACUUGUGUUAAAUCCAAAUGAGCCUAUCUGUCAAAUCUCCCCUUUCCAUAGCCAAAUGAGACUCUCAGGGGCCUGUAUUCAACAGCAGCGCCACAAAGCACCAUAACUCAACACAGAGAGCACCCCAGCAUUGGAAGCUUAAAAGCACAUUGGCACAUACGGAUAUUAGAAGUGUCAAGCCCUGUGAUGUAGACUGGGUGCCAUUCAUAAUUACGAUAUCUGAUUUAGGCUCAAAAUGAACACUCUAAAGGGAAAACGAGAGGAGAGCACCAAUAUUUUAAUGGAGAGGAGACAGCCUUCUCCCUCAAGGAACAUCUCCACUGACAGUGGCUGCUGGAAAAUUGGGAUUUAUACUUCCUGUUUUCUAUUAAUAUGGAGAUGAAUACAGGUGUUCCAGAGUCGUAAAAUUAGUUUAGCUCUUGCAUAUUGCAAUUACACGUGUUGAGGAGAAAAGCGAGCUAUGUGCAUGUUCACAGGCAAGAGAAAAUGGGGAAAAAAAACAUCUAGAUUUAAAAAUGAACAUAAUAACAAAUAACUCUAUGCUCUCCAGUCCCCCUCAGCUCAGUUUGGAAAAUUGUGGCUUGGCAGACACAAACACUUUUCCUUGUUUUUCACAUUAAAAAAAAAGGGCCACAAAUAAACUGUAAAAUAUUUCACUUUGCAAGGGUGAAGUCUUGGGAUGCCUCAUCAAAACCAUGCAGAAUUCCCUCCUGUCUGCUGUGGGGAUUUGUGGAAGGUAUUGUAGAGAAGAUGACACUGGCACAAUUCCCAGCAAUAUGAGGUGGGGAUACACCAUCUUAAAAUCCUAUUAAUUCAUGGCUGAGGCUCUUGGGUCACCACUUUUUAUCACAUAAAAUUGGAGGUCAUACAUAGUAUAGACAGAACUAUUGCUGUCAACAUUGUAUUCUCUGUUUUUCUUUUUCAUAGGAAGUAUUCAUAGGUCAGUGGUUUAGUAUUUAGCUAUAUCUCUCUUGGAAAAAGCCAUUAAUGGAGUCAUUACUACUAUUACCAUUGACCUUUGUAUUUCUUUCUCGUACUCAUUGUAAAGUCAUUUACAUAUUUGGUCUCUGUCAUUGACACAGCUCCUAUAGUUGCUGACAUUACAUUUGUUUGCUCUUUGUUUUUUCCUCUCUACGGUGGCCUAGUGCAUUUUCGUUACCAUUGUGCUCACCUAGACAAAGCUAACAUCUUUGCCUUUGUUUCGUGUAACUGUGUACUUUUGUGUACCACUGGUUUUGUAUUUAACUGUGUCACUUUGAUAGACAAAGCCAUUGUAAGUGUCACUAUUGCCAUUUAAGUUUUUUUUUUUUACUAAAGAAAGUAUUCCUAGCCCAAUCACUCUGUUUAGCUGUCUCUUUCUUAGGCAAGACGUUUACAAUUGCUUUUGCUGCCAUUACCUUUGGCUAUGUUCAAACAGCAGGAAAAUGUUAUUCAAGUCCCAUUUUUUUUGCCCAUGUCUGUCUUUGUCAUAGCAGUCUGAACAGUCCUAUUCAUUCUUUUUAUUGCCCUGUCUCUGAAAAAAAUCUGAUUUGGGCCACUUUCAUAUGUGGUACAAAAUUGGAUACAUAUCCAAAGGUUUUCAAAGUAUCAGAACAGUCAUGUCACAUUUUAUCCGACUUUUACUUCAUUGACAUGAGACAUGUGUCAUAAUUCUGCCCCAGAAGAAUAUAAACAAUGGCUUUGCUACUAGUUAUGUUUUUUACCCCUUUAGCUUGCUAAAGGGGUAAAAACAGUCUCUGUUUAACUGUAUUUCUUAUCCUAUAGAGAUGUUGUUAUUAUGACCACCAGUGGUAUCUACUCUCUUUGCUUUUCUGUCCAUUAAAAGUUCUCCAGCUA